UCGGUAAAUUUAAUAAAAAUCUAAACCCUCCUUCUUCUUUUACCUCAUUUUUACUUUUGUCACUCUUAAAAAUCUAAACCCCCGUCUCUCUCUCUUUCCCUUUCUCCACCGCCCUACCCUCGCCCACAUCGCCGCUAGCCAGAUCCGUCGCCACCCAGCCAGGUCCGGCAUCCAGUAUGCCGUCGCCAAUAUCUAUUCCAGGAUCCAUUAAAAGAAACUCCAGAUAAUGACAGCCAAUCACCGGAAGUAACCUCAAAAGCUGCAACUAUUGGGCAUGAAGCCAAGGAAAGUCCAAAGUAGCUGAUAGAGAAGUUAUUAGUUGCUCUAGUUAAUGUUAGUGCAAAAGAAGACUUAGUUAAGCAGCAUGCUAAAGUGGCAGAAGAAGCCGUUGCAGGUUGGGAAAAGUCAGAAAAUGAGGUUGCAGUUCUAAAGCAGCAACUUGAGGCAGCUAAGCAGCAGAACUUGACUUUGGAUGUUCGCAUCAACCAUCUUGAUGUUUACGAGGGGUGAAGUAGUCUAAUGUUGUAGACUAACUUAAUGUAGACUAGUUUAAUGUUUUGUGGAUGUUUACAAAUGUUGAAGUAGUUUAAUGUUGUUUUGAUGUUUGCAAAGGUUGAAGUAGCUUAAGUCUCUUGUGAAUGUUUGAUUGAUGUUUUUAUUCAACUUUGAAGUAGUUUCAAAUUGAAUUUGAUGUAUUGGUGGUUGUAGUAUAUGUGUUGUAAUAGUAGUUUAAUGUUUUAUGUA